CUCUUUCAUGCCCCAGUGACAUUUCCUGAUUAUAUUCACAGGGCACAAGUGAUUUUGAACUCACAGUACAUUUGGGAAGUAAACCUAAUGGGCAUGCAAACAGCCAAUUGCAGUGUCAGGAAAACUAACUCAGUACAUUUCCAAUCUUUAAAACUCAAGUUUUCUCAACUAUGGAUUGGCACAGAAGUAGCAGGAUUUGAGUUUUAUGGGACUUGGAUGAAAAGUUUGUAUUACUGCAAAAUGGAAAGAAAUAUUUUUCUUAGGUUACCUAGAUAUUUUAUUUGAAGCCAGAUUAUUCCCAGUUCUAAAGCUGUGUUAUAAAUCCAGAUUAUGGCCAUGAGGUACGUGCCAUGGUGGGAGUGGGGUGUGAGAAUUUAAUUGUAAUAAGUUCUCCUUGACAAUACAUUGAUGUCUUAAGCCAUCAGCAUUAGCUGACCAGCUGAACAAGUUUGGAUAGGCCUGCUAGUCAAUCUGAAAUGCAAAUACUGCCGCAGUCUUCUUUUCUAUGAAUUCAUUUUAGUUGGGAAGAAGCAUUGCUAGAAGCUGGAAGCUCUCCUUCUUAUUUGUAAUGUAUGCAAAUACUUUAAAAAUCAUUCCUCAGUUCAGAAGGCAGCAGAUGAAAACCAUCCCUAUGAUUUCUUAUCUAGUCCUAGGCAUGAAACAAUGGGAAUUGUUUCCCUCCUCAUUCUAUGUUCCUUUUUGGAAUUCCAUCACUCACCUCAACAGGAUUCCUUGGGACAAGAAAAUGAUGCCCACAGCAUGCAGGGAAAUCAUGGUAGCUGCACUGAGGGGAAGAAAAACAGAGCCCAGCCAGAGGAGUUUGGAAGAAGAUGCAAUUGCUGUGGAUUGAAGCACUGAGGAAAGUUUUCUUUGAGAGGAGGUAAAAUAGAAUCUAGGCCUGGAGGAGAAACCAAGAUGGUGGAACAGCAUGGAAGUUUUUUGUGUGUCUCGCAUCCAUGAAAUACAGCCAGACUGACGCUAAAGCCAGACCAUCUUACACACCUAGAAAACUGAUUGGAAGAUUAACACAACAAUCUGCACAACCUGAACCACAGAAUUCAUCAGGUACGUGAUACGGAGAGGUGAAUUUGGGGAGUGAGAAGCUGCAGAGGGUAGGGAGCUGCUUUUGCAGGCAGAGAGAGGACAAAGACUGGGGGGAGGAGAAUAUGGGAAAAGCACCCCUCCCCAAAAGCAGCUGGAGAGAAAGUGGAAAAUUGGAAACAGCCACAGGGACUAAACUAAAAAGGGAUAAAGCAGAAACAAGAGGGUUUAAAUUCCAUUAAAACUGUAAACAAGGGGAGUGCAAAGUCUGCAACUCCUCAGCUCGAUACCUGGAGGUGCUCUGGUGGGAAGGGUGAAUCCCCAGGAACAGAGUGCGGUCCAGGAGGUCCUUGGGCCACAGGGGGAAAAGCGGUUCCACUGCUGGAAGGACAUUUGGUAGAGACUGUUGAAGACACCUGGUCCCAGCAGACCCCCCCAAAAUGGCCACAUUCGCUGGUUCUGUAACAAGGUAAUUAAGGAUCAUUAAACCUGGUGCCAGAUGUGUG